rnacentral:rRNA from 1 species
AUUGAACGCUGGCGGCGUGCUUAACACAUGCAAGUCGAUCGGUAACGCGGGGGCAACCCUGGCGACGAGAGGCGGACGGGUGAGGAACGCUUGGGAAUCUGCCCAUCAGCGGGGGACAACCCGGGGAAACUCGGGCUAAUACCGCAUACGCUCUACGGAGGAAAGCCGGGGACCGCAAGGCCUGGCACUGAUGGAUGAGCCCAAGUCGGAUUAGCUAGUUGGCGGGGUAACGGCCCACCAAGGCGACGAUCCGUAGCUGGUCUGAGAGGACGAUCAGCCACACUGGGACUGAGACACGGCCCAGACUCCUACGGGAGGCAGCAGUGGGGAAUAUUGGACAAUGGGGGCAACCCUGAUCCAGCGACGCCGCGUGGGUGAAGAAGGCCUGCGGAUUGUAAAGCCCUUUCGAUGGGGACGAAAGCUUCCGGCCUAACACGUCGGGAGUCUGACUUAACCCAUAUAAGAAGCACCGGCUAGCUCUGUGCCAGCAGCCGCGGUAACAC